rnacentral:lncRNA from 1 species
UGGCAUAUUACAUCACCACGAGACUCUUCUGGUGGUAUCACACUAUGGCCAAUCAGCAAGUGCUAAAGGAAGCUUCCCAGAUGAACCUCCUGGCCAGGGUGUGGUGGUACAGGCCAUUUCAGUACUUUGAAAAGAAUGUCCAAGGAAUUGUACCUCGAUCUUACCAUUGGCCUUUCCCCUGGCCAGUAGUCCACCUCAGUAGGCAAGUUAAAUACAGCCGGCUGGUGAAUGACACAUAACAGCUGUACAAAGUGGGGAAAAGACAAAUUGUCCGAAGUGCUAAGAACUCCAUGAGAGAAGAUGCCAUAAAAUAAACACCUCCCUAAUCCUAUUAUCUUUCAAUGGUUACCUUGACUUAACCUAUUGAGUUACCUGGUCAGCACUGUGAUCUUUUUUUCUCUCCAAAGGACCUGCGUUGGACAACAAUAAAGAAAAAUUUAACCUAUCAUGCACUGUACACAUUUCCUGUUCAUAAGUUUGGGAUUUACAUAACCCGCAACCACCAUGUUCCUUUGUAUAUGAUGCAGCAGCAUAAAUGUAAGCUUUUAUAUCAUAAGUUCUGGUCUUUCCAGUCACAUCUGGAAAUAAAGCGUAUUAUUUUCUUGGGAAAACAUACUUUUCAUAUCUCUUGCCCCAAAGAUUGGGCUGUAAGCCAUUUUCUAGCAAAUGUCUCUAUGAAGGUUUCUAAGUACCUGAAUGGGGUUUGAUUCUGAAAUCUUUCUACCUGUUGCACCGAUAUUCAAAUAAAAAUGAUAGACACAGAAAGGUUUGGUAACUUUGGGUUUUGUAAAAUCAGCAAAGGCAGUGUUUCAAAAAGUGCAAAAAAAAAGAUUCUGUUAUAAAGUGAUUUUCUAAGUAUUUCCUAACUUUAUUUUUCAAAAUGAUGUUAUGAACACCAAAUUUAAAGAUUUUUAACAUGUCAGAGAGAAGAGAGUUAAAAUUUAAAAAUGCAUCUUGGGAGAGAAAUUUGUCUAUGUUUCUAGUGCCUUUCUUGUCUUGAUUGUAUGGUCAGUAGGCAAUCUUAAAUGUUUUUAUUUAAAAUAAAGUAUUCCUUGAAAAUAUAAAUAUAUGUAUACACUACUAAAUUUUGCAUUUAUAGCUAAAUUGAAUCAGAAGACUGCUUAUGGUUUUAAAAUUGCAAUGACUUAAAUAAUGAGGUUGUUAAUUAGAGUCAGAGCCUGUUCACAUAUUGUGAUCAGGUAGCAAUGACAUGUACCACUUAAAUUAUUUUAUCGUCGAUUUGGUAGUUCAAUUUUAACUACUCAAUGAAAACAGCCAUGAAUAUCUUUUCUUAAAGAGAGUUUUGAAAAUGAUCACUUACCUAAAACUUGAAAGCUAUGAAUUAGUUAUCCAUACUCUCAUGACAAUUUUGUUGGUGAACAACAAAAAAGAGAUCUAUUUCUUUAAAAGAUAUUUGUGCAGAAACUGCAUGUAACUCUAAGUUUUACUCCUAACAUACAUAUGUUUGGGGAAGUAUUCUAUUCUAUACUUGCCAAUGUGGAGAACAAAAUAGUUUUUUAAGAAUGAAGAAGUAUAUAUAUCCAUUCUGUAUUUUACGUGCAGCAGAAUUAUCUUCCGUAGGAUUUUUUUGUGUAUUCACAAGGUGAUAUUUGUAUUGUAAAACAAUAAUGGUGAAGGAAAUAAAAAGGCUUUUAAAAUUUUGUUUGUUUUAAAUCUUUGUAAAGUUAUUAUUCCAGAGAGUAUACUGGUAUCUUACAGCUUACCUAGAUCAUAAAUUAAUCAAAAUGCACUUUUUAAUAAAAACUGAUACUUAAAAU